rnacentral:tRNA from 1 species
CGGGACUACUUGCGGACGCGGAACCGCAGGACGUUGACGGAGUCCACCCGAGUGCUGCUGAUCGGCUCCAGGUCGAUCCGGGGUAGGCCCGG